rnacentral:rRNA from 1 species
AGAGUUUGAUCCUGUCUCAGAACGAACGCUGGCGGCAUGCCUAACACAUGCAAGUCGAACGAAGGCUUCGGCCUUAGUGGCGCACGGGUGCGUAACGCGUGGGAAUCUGCCCUUUGCUACGGAAUAACUCGGGGGAACUCGUGCUAAUACCGUAUGAUGUCGCAAGACCAAAGAUUUAUCGGCAGGGGAUGAGCCCGCGUAGGAUUAGCUAGUUGGUGGGGUAAAGGCUCACCAAGGCGACGAUCCUUAGCUGGUCUGAGAGGAUGAUCAGCCACACUGGGACUGAGACACGGCCCAUACUCCUACGGGAGGCAGCAGUGGGGAAUAUUGGACAAUGGGCGCAAGCCUGAUCCAGCAAUGCCGCGUGAGUGAUGAAGGUCUUAGGGUUGUAAAGCUCUUUUACCCGGGAUGAUAAUGACAGUACCGGGAGAAUAAGCCCCGGCUAACUCCGUGCCAGCAGCCGCGGUAAUACGGAGGGGGCUAGCGUUGUUCGGAAUUACUGGGCGUUAAGCGCACGUANGCGGCGAUUUAAGUCAGAGGUGAAAGCCCGGGGCUCAACCCCGGAAUAGCCUUUGAGACUGGAUUGCUUGAACAUCGGAGAGGUGAGUGGAA